AACUUUCAACAACGGAUCUCUUGGUUCUGGCAUCGAUGAAGAACGCAGCGAAAUGCGAUAAGUAAUGUGAAUUGCAGAAUUCAGUGAAUCAUCGAAUCUUUGAACGCACA
rnacentral:rRNA from 1 species